UUGAUCGGACCAGCUUGGCUGAGACCCAUUCAGUUCGCAUCACUAGCUUGGGGGCCGCAGAAGCAGCCAGAACGUGCCACAACAGUUACACAAAUCUGCGUGGAGUGGCAUCCAAGCAAGGAUUUCAAUCAAGUAACGGAGUAAAGUAACAAUGACAUUGCCCAACACCACCUGAUUGGAUCAGAGGGCGGGCUAUGAAUCAGAAGUAUGAGUUGACGUAUAUUUUUGUUUGUACACAUGUACAUAUGUACAUAAUGGAUUGUAAAUCACCUUUGUUUGACCGAUAUAUCGUGAAUCUAACUUUCAAUCUUCAUUGGAAACGUAUCCGAAAGCAAAGUCGCGAAUUUGACAUUGACACAGACCAUAGGAGGGAGAGGGGAAAAAGAGAAGGAGAGGAUGAGGGAGCGGGAGCUGGAGAUGGAGAACAAGGUAAAAUGGACAUGAGAUAAUUUGUGUAUAAAUUAAAACAUGUUUUUCAAAAGGCUUUUUGUAAGACCCCCUCACACACACACACAAAUAGCACGCAUACGAGUAUGCAUAUGUGUGUGCUAAUUAUUUGCGUGCACAUGUUUCAAUGUCAUUACCACAGAAGAGUGCAAAGAGAGUGGAUUUUAAC